UUGUACGGUAAUACUCUGUAACCCUAAUUUGACGACAAAUAUGGGUUAAGGGUGUUACAAUAAGCCUACCUUAUUAUUUUACACUAUUUUUAACUUAUUAAUUUUGUUGAUUUAUUAUACACAUUUACUUAUUAACUAACAUUUAAUGUCACGUAAAGUAAAUUUAAUGCAUGAGUCUGCUACCCUAGCACAUUUUUUGUCUGUCGCCAUUGGUAAAAGUCUUUGUUUUUCUUGUUCUUGUGAAACUUUUGUUCGUUGAUUUCUGUGUAUCCCACUUGUCUUAUCUAUCGCAUUAGGAAGUGGAUCCAUAAUAGUGACCUGGAAGAGAUGGAGAAUGAAUUAGCCCACUUGUCAAUCAAUGAGGAAGAAGAGGAUGCUAUUCUCAUACCAGUAGAUCCAAAUUUGGAAAAAGAGAGUUUUUUCAACUUGUAGGAUGUUUUCUCGCAACUAGUAUGAUUCAAUUUUCUGCUAUGAAAAGUACAAUGGCAAACUUGUGGCAUCUAGUUCGGGGUGUUCGAAUUCGAGAUCUGGGGAAAAAAGGUUUUUGUUUCAAUUUUUUCAUGUUAUGGAUAUAGACAGGGUGUUAAAGGGUUCACCUUAGACCUUUAACAACCAUCUGUUGAUACUUUACAAAUUGAAUGUUGGAGAGAAUCCGUUCCACGUCCCUUUAGUUUUCACACCUUUCUGGGUUAAGAUCCAUGAUGGGCAAAUUGGCCUAUAUACUGAAAUUUUAGCUACGCAGCUAGGGAAAUUUUUAAGGAAUUUUCUGGAAUAUGACGUCUCAUACUUAAGGAAAGAAAAUAGGAACUUUAUGCGGAUCAAGGUCCAAAUUGUUGUAAGGCACCCUUUGAGAAGGAGGAAACAAAUUUUAUUUGGGGAGAGACGUUCAUACGCCAUGUUUAAGUAUGAAAGAUUAUCACUUUUUUAUUUUUUAUGUGGAAGACUGGGUCAUAGUGAUUCGUUCUGUGAAACAAAAAUGAACAUCGGAGCAGAUAUGGCAGAUUUGGGAUGGGAUUUAUCUAUCAGAGCACAAUCCCGAAGGUCACUAUCAAUUAAAAGUUUUUGGUUACGGGAUGAAAUAGAUGGUGAUAGGGGAGGACUUGGUGAAGAAAAUAAAAAGGUCCAAAUGGGGCAAUAGGGGGAAAAUUAAGAUUUUGGAAGCCCGUUGAUCCAAUUAUUGGUCUCAAUAUGGAAAGAGGCUUAGGAAAGAAAAAUUGUGCGAGUAUUACGAUGGAACAUAAUUUGGAGGAAGUUGCUCUUAAAGGGGAUGAGGGAAAAAAGAGAUCUAGAGGGAAAAUUGAAGAUUGUGCAGGAGGAGAAGCGCAAUAUGAUGGUAAGAAGUAGGAGAGUGGAGGAAUUCAAUCAUUUAACAUCGACGGCUGCCAAAUGGCAAGCCGACCGGGCGCAAUGAAAAUACUAAGUUAAAAUGUCCAUAGAUUGGGGAAUCCACGGGCAGUUUGAGGACUUCAACAUUCGCUGAAGAGUUAUAAUCCCCAAAUUGUCUUCUUCAUGGAGACCAAGCUUUGUAGAAAUCAAAUGGAAAGAAUUCGUUGUAGAUGUGGUUUUACGAAUGGUAUUGAGGUGGAUUCAAAGGGUACUAUAGGAGGGUUGUGUUUGGCGUGGCGAAAUGAUAUUAAUUUUACGCUCCAGAAUCUCUAAAAGACAUUGAUGUAAUAGUGGUUGAUGAUGAAAGAGAUUCUUCAUUGCGGCUUACUGGCUUUUAUGGAUCACCAUAUGCGCGCUAUAGAGAAGACUCAUGGGCAGUGCUGAAAGGUCUCCAUAAAAAUGAAGAAAUUCCUUGGAUUGUGUAUGGAGAUUUUAAUGAGAUUAUGUACGAUUUUGAAAAAAAAAAGAUGUUUGCUUAGAGAUGAAAAAAGAAUAGAGAAGUUCAGUAAAGCUUUAGAAUUUUUCCAAUUGACUAAUGUGGGAUAUUCUGGUAGAUGGUUUACAUGGGAAAGAGGUAAUUUACCGAAAACAUGCAUACAAGAACGACUGCAUAAGGGUGUUGCGAAUGAAAACUGGAUUUCUAUGUUUUCUAUGGUGAAGGCUCAGCAUCUAUUUCACUCUUUUUCUAAUCAUUGUCUUUUAUUAAUUAACAUAGCUAAGGAAGAUAAACGAAGAUCAAAAAGUCAUUUCAAAUUUGAAGCCUGAUGGAUCUUGGAAGAAUCUUUCGUUGACGAAGCCAAAAAUAUUUGGGAAACAGCUUCUGGGAAUUUUUUACAAAAAUUGGAAAUUUUAAAAGGAGGAAUGGAAAAUUGGGCGAAACAAGUACAGAAAAGAAAAAAAAGGGAAAAAAGAACUUUUAUCAACAAAGCUAUUAAAACUGAUGGAAGCGGAAAAAGACGAUACCAAUUUGGCCGCAAUGAUUGAUAUAAAGAUUCAACUAAAUUUUGAAGUUGAAAAAGAUGAAAGAUACUGGGAACAAAGGGCAAGACAAAACUGGCUAAGACUAGGUGACAGAAAUACAACCUUCUUUCACAGUCAAGCAACGCAGAGGAAAAGAAAAAAUAUGAUAAACAAAUUACAAAGCGAUUGCGGAGUGGUAACAAACGAUCUUCAAGAAAUGGAAAGUAUAACACGAUCCUAUUUUCAGAAUUUAUUUAAUACAUCGAGUCAGGUGAAUUUUGAUAUUUUACUUAUGGGAAUGUGUUUCUGAAGAAGAUAAUCGAAAACUUACAAAACCAUAUACAAAAGAACAGGUGAGAGAGGUACUAUUUAAAAUUCAUCCCACGAAGGCACCCGGUGAAGAUGGCUUUCCAGCUCUAUUCUAUCGAAAAUGUUGGCACUUCAUUGGAGAGGAGGUUAUGGCAUUCUGUUUACUUCAUUUAGAUGGCAGAAUGGAGGUUAGUUCAAUUAAUUUAACGCAUAUUGUUCUUAUCCCAAAAAUUAGUAGUAAUCCUUCUAAUAUGACACAUUUUAGGUCAAUCAAUUUAUGUAAUGUUAUUUAUAAAAUCAUGGCUAAGGCUAUUGCAAACAGAUUUAGAGGUAUUAUUGAUAAAUGCAUCGACAGUGCGCAAAGUGCUUUUGUGCCAGGAGAUUAAUUUCAGACAAUGUAUUGCUGGCCUAUGAAAUACUGCAUACACCGAGACAAAAGAAUGGGGAAGAAGAGUUUUAUAGCAGUUAAACUUGACAUGAGUAAAGCAUACGAUAGGAUUGAAUGGGGUUUUAUUCGGGAAAUAAUGUUUGAGGAUGGGCUUUGCCAAAAAAUGGAUAGAUUCUCUCAUGAAUUGCAUGUCUACUAUUUCUUAUCAAGUUGUGGUCAAUGGUAGUAUUGGAAAAACUUUUAAUCCGAAAAGGGGACUGAGACAAAGGGAUCCACUGAGUCCAUUUCUGUUUCUAAUUUGUGGAGAGGGAUUAUCUAGUCUCAUGAGAAUUGCUUCAAAUAAAGGAGUAAUAAAAGGAGUCAAGGCAAGCAAAAGUGGCCCACAAGUAACACACUUAUUAUUUGCAGACGACUGCAUUUCAUUCGAGGAAGCGUCAAGAAAAGGAGCAACAACAAUUAAGGAGAUUCUGAAGGAGUAUAAGCGAUGUUCAGGUCAGUGCGUGAAUUUCGCUAAAUCUACCGUUUUCUUUAGUAAAAACACGUCACAGGAAUAAAGGAGUUCAGUUGUUCAUUUGCUGGGUGUUCAGAGUUCAGAUGAACCUGAACGUUAUUUGGGCUUGCCGAAUAUGGUUGGACGAAAAAAGAAACAAAUCUUUUAGGAUCUUGAAAGAUAGAUUGAAGAAGCUUAUUGAGAAUUGGAGUAAUCGGUUUUUGUCGCAAGGGGGAAAAGAGGUUUUCAUAAAAGCUAUUCUUCAAGCCAUACCGACAUAUUCAAUGGCAUGCUUUUUAUUACCAAAAUCACUAUGCGAAGAUCUGGAAAGUAUUGUUGCAAAAUAUUGGUGGCAGAAAGGUUGUGAAAAAAGGGGUAUACAUUGGUGCUCGUAGAAAAACCUUUGUUUUUUAAAGGAAAACGGAGGAAUGGGUUUUCGAAAGCUUAGCCAGUUUAAUAUCGCCUUAUUAGCCAAGCAGGGAUGGCGUUUAAUAAAUUAUCCAAAUUCCCUUUUAGCAAGAGUGCUUAAAGCUAAAUAUUAUCCACGGACGUGUUAUCUAAAUGCACAGUUAGAAAACUUACCAUCUCUUACCUGGAGGAGUAUUUGGGCUGCGAAAGGAACCCUUCUUAAGGGGCUAAGAUAGAGAGUGGGGAAAGGAACCGCAAUAUCUAUUUGGAAUGAUAGAUGGAUACCAGGGAUUGAACCUGAGAUAUGGCAUAACAGAGAAAGAAACGAGGGGUUAAACUUAGUAUCAGACCUAAUUGACAGCACAACCAAGACGUGGAAAAUAGAAACAAUUACAACUACCUUCCAAUGGGAUGUCGCUCAAAGAAUUCUGCAGAUCCCUCUUGCAAGAACAGACUGUAAGGACAUGCAGGUGUGGAAAGAUGAACAUUCUGGUGAGUUCUCAGUUCGGAGCGCCUAAAAACUAUUACAAAAAGCUAGCCUGGAUCCUAGUAGUUACUUAGUACAGACCGAAACUAAAGAAUUUUACAAGAACUUAUGGAAUUUACAACUACCACAAAAAAUUUUAAUCCUUAUAUGGAGGAUUUCUUGGGAACUAUAUUCCAUCCCUAGUUAAUCUGAAAUAUAAAAGAGUGACUGCAAAUGCCAGAUGCCCUCGUUGCGAAUCUGAGGAGGAAGAUAGCCAUCACGUGUUUCAGAAAUGUCUAUAAGCAUUGAAGUAUGGAUUAGACUCAAUAUGACGUGGGUAAUAGAAUAUGCAGAUCAGAAUGUUUGGAGUUGGCUCACCUGGGUCUUUGGUAGGGGUACAAAGGAGCAGACUCGGUUGUUUUGCUGUGCUCUAUGGGUUAUAUGGGGCUCGCGGAAUCAGAUGAUACAUGAGAAGAAAGCCACAUCAGGAUUAGAUCUCUCACAGAAAAUACAGAGUUAUCUAAUGGAAGUUGAAGGAAUUAGGGGAAGUAAGAUUACUCACGCGCUCACUGAAGCUGAAUGACAAGACAAAAAGACAUCAAUGGAGAUAAUACAGUUUGAUGCAGCCUUUGAUAUUAGGAAUUUCAGUUCGUCGUCAGGAAUGGUGGUUCGGGAUCAAGAUGGUGUGAUUAGAGCCUCAAAGUCGACUUUGCAGUCCAACAUUUCGUCUCCGUUUAUUGCCGAAGCAUAUGCAUGUUUAGAGGCAACCAAGUUAGGUAUCAGCAUGGGGAUAGAAUUAGUCACGAUUAUGGGGGAUUCGAAAAUAGUUAUUAACAAAUGUCAAUCAACAACAAGGGACAAAUCAAUUAUCGGAACGAUUAUUCAAGAUAUUCGGAGUAAUAGCUCUCGCCUUCAGAAAAUUGUUUUCAGAUUUAUUCAAAGAACAGAAAAUGUCCAAGCUCAAAAUCUUGCAAACGAUGCACUAAAAAAGGGGGAAGAGAUGUACCUGAUUGUUCCAAGAGCAAUACGGGUACAAAAUCCAGACUGAAGAGAGACGAGGAAAACAAAAUGAAACGGUAAAAGAAAGCAAAGAAGGAGAUAUCUUGGAAGUUGUUGCUAUCUUUUUGAAACAGACCUGGCGUUCUUUUGAAAUGAAAAGUCAAGAAGAGUAAUGGUUACAGGCUGUUUGAUGUGAUUGGGGAAAUGACGGUUGAUUUUUUUAUGUUUCUUUCAUUUUAUUUUGUUAUUCAAUUAGGUUUUUAAAGUCUGAACAUUUUAGGCGGUUGGUUUUAUGGGUUGUUUAAUUUGCAGCCUAUGUUUUUGUUUAUAGGCCAGUCCAGCAAUGUUAUGGGCUGUUUUCUUGUGUUUUUUAUAUAAUAAUACCCCAG
rnacentral:lncRNA from 1 species